rnacentral:rRNA from 1 species
GAUGAACGCUAGCGGCAGGCCUAACACAUGCAAGUCGAGGGGUAGCAGGAUUAAGCUUGCUUAAUUGCUGACGACCGGCGCACGGGUGCGUAACGCGUAUGCAACCUACCUUAUACUGGGGUAUAGCCCGGAGAAAUUCGGAUUAAUCCCCCAUAGUACUAAUGAAUCGCAUGGUUUAUUAGUUAAAGCAUUGCGGUAUAAGAUGGGCAUGCGUCCUAUUAGCUGGAUGGUGAGGUAACGGCUCACCAUGGCUACGAUAGGUAGGGGGCCUGAGAGGGUGGUCCCCCACACGGGUACUGGGACACGGACCAGACUCCUACGGGAGGCAGCAGUGAGGAAUAUUGGUCAAUGGGCGCAAGCCUGAGCCAGCCAUGCCGCGUGCAGGAAGAAUGCCCUAUGGGUUGUAAACUGCUUUUAUUUGGGAAUAAACCUCUUUACGUGUAGAGAGCUGAAGGUACCAAAUGAAUAAGCACCGGCUAACUCCGUGCCAGCCGCCGCGGUAA